CCCGCUGAACUUAAGCAUAUCAAUAAGCGGAGGAAAAGAAACUAACAAGGAUUCCCCUAGUAACUGCGAGUGAAGCGGGAAAAGCUCAAAUUUAAAAUCUGGUGGUCUUUGGCCAUCCGAGUUGUAAUUUAGAGAAGCGUCUUCCGCGCUGGACCAUGCACAAGUCUCCUGGAAUGGAGCGUCAUAGAGGGUGAGAAUCCCGUCUUUGGCAUGGACACACCAGGGCUUCUGUGAUGCGCUCUCGAAGAGUCGAGUUGUUUGGGAAUGCAGCUCAAAAUGGGUGGUGAACUCCAUCUAAAGCUAAAUAUUGGCGAGAGACCGAUAGCGAACAAGUACCGUGAGGGAAAGAUGAAAAGCACUUUGGAAAGAGAGUGAAACAGUACGUGAAAUUGUUGAAAGGGAAACGCUUGAAGUCAGUCGUGUCUGCCAGGACUCAGCCUUGCUUCUGCUUGGUGUACUUUCUGGUUGGAUGGGCCAACAUCAAUUUUGAUCGUUGGAGAAAGGCUUUGGGAAUGUGGCACCUUCGGGUGUGUUAUAGCCCUUUGUCGUAUACAACGGUUGGGAUUGAGGACCGCAGCACGCCUUUAUGGCCGGGGUUCGCCCACGUACGUGCUUAGGAUGUUGGCAUAAUGGCUUUAAGCGACCCGUCUUGAAACACGG
rnacentral:rRNA from 1 species